CAUAUACAAUGUAACAAUGUAUUGCAAUGUAAUGUAAUUGCAAAGCGUUAUAUCGAAACAGCGCUAAUCGGGGCAGCGUUAAGCGAAGUAUUUCUGUAAUGUCGUAAAAUAUGAUUGUUAUAUACGACCAUAAUUACGUUCUAUAUUAUGGGGGAGGAUAAUGGUCUGGGGGAAAAUUACCCCAUCAUUUAUAAAUUUGCCUCCCCCAUUUACACACAUUAACACAUAUACACGCAUAUACACAUUCGACGUCGGUUCAAAUCCCAUCGCGGCCGCCUGGGUUAAUAUAAAAAAUAGUCAGUGCUGGGGGUGGAUAGUGGUUUGCGCAUAAUCACUUAUAAAUUUGCCUCCCCCUCGCUUAUAAAACCUAUUUGUUGGGGAGGAUAGUGGACAAUCACUUAUAAAUUUGCCCCCCAAUUAUUUAUAUACACAUACACACUUGCGCAUAAAGUAAUUUAAAAAAUAGUCAGUGUUGGGGGUGGAUAGUGGACAAUCACUUAUAAAUUGGCCUCCCCCUUGCUUAUAAAACCUAUUUGUUGGGGAGGAUAGUGGUAUGGACCAUAAUUGUCCGAUCACUUAUAAAUUUGCCCCCCAAUUAUUUAUAUACACAUUUACACAUUACAUAUAAAUUAAUUUAAAAAAUAGUCAGUGUUGGGGGUGGAUAGUGGACAAUUACUUAUAAAUUUGCCUCCCCCUCGCUUAUAAAACCUAUUUGUUGGGGAGGAUAGUGGUAGGGACCAUAAUUGUCCGAUCACUUAUAAAUUUGCCCCCCAAUUAUUUAUUAAACAAAUUAAUCUCGAGUAUCAAAAUAUGACUUUAUUGAUGGAACGACAAAAACGAAUUAAUAAUUACAACUAUCAUUUAAAUCACACAACACUUUAUGUGUUGACUUUUUGUACUCGCUGUCUUUGUGCAAAUAUGCUCGUUUUUUCUCAAGUUUCGUCUUGUUCAUUUUUGAUGAAAUGAUCAUGAAAUUCUCAACCAUAUCGAGUUAUGAUGAUUAUUUGGUACUGACAAAUGUUAACCAAUAUUUCGGAAGUUAAUCAAAUUGAAAACGAGGUUUAUGAAUAUUUCCUACGUGACCUAUCACAUGGAACAAAAUAUGAAAUCUUUGUUAAAACUUAAAUUUUGGCCGGAAGUGGACCACAAUCACAAGUAGUGCUGAAACGUACACUUGAUGGAGAUAUACCACCUGCACAACUUCUAAUUGCAAAAGGAAACCACGUCAAAUUCUAUUUCA